rnacentral:rRNA from 1 species
CAGUCGCCGCGGUAAUCCGAAGGGUGCAAGCGUUACUCGGAAUUACUGGGCGUAAAGCGUGCGUAGGUGGUGGUUUAAGUCCGUUGUGAAAGCCCUGGGCUCAACCUGGGAAUUGCAGUGGAUACUGGGUCACUAGAGUGUGGUAGAGGAUAGUGGAAUUUCCGGUGUAGCAGUGAAAUGCGUAGAGAUCGGAAGGAACAUCUGUGGCGAAGGCGACUAUCUGGGCCAACACUGACACUGAGGCACGAAAGCGUGGGGAGCAAACAGGAUUAGAUACCCGCGUAGUCCCUGUCUCUUAUAC